CCAUUAUCCUAAGCAAUUAAAUGCAGGAAAAGAAAAUCAGAUACCACAGAUUCUCACUUAUAAGUGGAAGCUAAACAUUGGGCACUCAUGGACAUAAAGAUGGCAACAAUAGAUACUGGAAACUACUAGAAGGCGGAGGAGGGGAUUUUCGUUUUCCUUGCUUUUUUGCACUUCAUGCCCAGCUUUCCAUCCAAACAGCCUGGCCUGCUGACCCAUAGCAACUUCAGGAUUGGCCCACCAAAUGCAGAGGGAACAGCCUUGCACAGACAUCUCCACCAGCUCCCAUCAUGACUCCAGGUCCAAUCUCUAUUGCAAAUCUGUGUUUUUCUACAUCAUUCAUCGUGGUCAUGCUUCCUUGAUUGAACCUUGCCUGAUACAUCCCCCACCACAUUGCUCUGUGAGUUGGAUAUAAGACAGUGGUACCACUGAAAGCUCAAGGUUCUUUUUAACACAUUUUGCAUUUACUAUAACUCUAAGCAUUUUGGCUCCCAACUGCCACCCUUUGCCUUCUCUCUAUUUCCCCAGAACUUCUCUGUGGGAGGACUUUGAGCAAUAAGGAAAGAGUAUUGACUGCUGAAAUUCCACAGAAAAAAUAUCCAAUUUCUUUCUUCAGCACAGUGAUGGGUGGGGUUAACCACAGAUUUGUCAUCAGAUUUUAAAAUCAAAGCAGUAAGAUUUUCCUAAAAAUAAAUGAAAAAGAAAAAGAAUUCUAUUUACCUCAAUAUUGCUAUUUUCACAAUUUCCUAGAACAAGUUGUACGGAGUAAUACAAAUGCUAAGAAGGUGGGUCCAAAUGAAAUACAGAAUUCAUAAUAAGAGGAUGUUGUUACUCAGAAGAAGGACAACCCAGUGUGCUUUGAGAUGGUAUUGCAGCAAUGAAAACAAGCUCAAUGUCCAUGUCAGAUAAACAAUUGUCGUCACAGCUCUGGAAGUUUGGGAAGUGACUCAUCUUCAGGAAUGGGCAGUGAGUGAAGACAACUGUUUACCUCAGCCCUUUGGUGGUUGACACAAACAUUCUUUUCUUCCCCUGUGACUUGGCCACUGGGAGAUGCUGUUGCAGCCACGUGCAUCGGCACCCCAGCUUCCACCACAUAGAUGCUCACCUCUCCUGCCCCGUGAUGCCUUACACUCUCUGCCCUCAGGUUCUUACUGUCCUUAGGGGUGGAAAAUCUCUAAAAUCAGUGGAUUUCCUG
rnacentral:lncRNA from 10 species